rnacentral:rRNA from 1 species
AUUGAACGCUGGCGGCAGGCCUAACACAUGCAAGUCGAGCGAGCGGCGGACGGGUGAGUAAUGCCUGGGAAUUGCCCAGUCGAGGGGGAUAACAGUUGGAAACGACUGCUAAUACCGCAUAUGAUGGGAUUGCCCAGGUGGGAUUAGCGAGUUGAUGAGGUAAUGGCUCACCAAGGCGACGCUCCCUAGCUGGUAUGAGCGGAGGAUCAGCCACACUGGAACUGAGACACGGUCCAGACUCCUCCGGGAGGAAGCAGUGGGGAAUAUUUCACAAUGGGUGAAACCCUGAUACAGCCAUGCCGCGUGUGUGAAGAAGGCCUUCGGGUUGUAAAGCACUUUCAGCGAGGAGGCGUUACUCGCAGAAUAAGCACCGGCUAACUCCGUGCCAGCAGCCGCGGUAAUAC